rnacentral:rRNA from 1 species
AACGAACGUUGGCGGCGUGGAUUAGGCAUGCAAGUCGCACGAAUCCCAGCCUUGUAGCAAUACCGGAUUGGGGAAAGUGGCGAAAGGGGCAGUAAGGCGUGGGUAACUUGCCCCGGAGUUCGGAAUAGCCUUUCUAACGAAUGGGUAUACCGAAUGCCCUGACGAGGGGGCCUCCUCUGGUCAGGAAAGUUACGGCGCCCCGAGAGGGGCCCGACGUAGUAUUAGCUUGUUGGUGGGGUAACGGCUCACCAAGGCCAAGANGCUUAGCAGGUGUGAGAGCACGACCUGCGCCACUGGCACUGGGACACUGGCCAGACUCCUACGGGAGGCUGCAGUCGAGGAUCUUCGGCAAUGGGCGCAAGCCUGACCGAGCGACGCCGCGUGGGCGAUGAAGGCCUU